CUUACUACUUCAUAGUAAUGCGCGUUAUUACUUUGCUACACUAAAGUUGAAUAUAUCAUCGAUUUAUUCUAAGAAAGAUUUUGUUUGUGCAGCAAUAACUAAAAAUAAGCCUUACCCUGUUCAUAAAAGAUAGUUGGUUGAGAGCAUACUGACUGUUAUUAGAUAACGAUGCAUACACUAAUCCUAACCUGCUUAGUCUGUUUCUGUCUGGCUACGAUCUGUCAAGCCAUUGUAGACAAUGCAGAUACAAAAAACGACAAACGUUUGAGGCGUGAAAAUAGACGUCACAACGUUUACGAUCACCGUAUUCUAAAACUUCGAAUGUGUAGAAAAUGCUGUUUUUACAGGCGGAACUGUAUGGGUUUCUGUCAACGAUUUAGUU